rnacentral:rRNA from 1 species
GCAGUCCUUCUGAUGGAAUAGAGGGUCCAAGCGCGCAGGACGUCAUGCAGGCAAAUCCGCAUGACAACAGUCUGAGGCGUGAUGGGGUGCGGGCAUUUCGGUGCCCGCGAAGCUGCCGCCGGCCAUGCCGCCGUGAAAAGCGUCUAAACGUUUUAACGACUACGUGAACCGUACCGCAAACCGACACAGGUGGACGGGUCGAAUAGACCAAGGCGCUCGGGAGAAACCACGUUAAGGAACUCGGCAAAAUAGCCCCGUAACUUCGGGAAAAGGGGUGCUCUCUGCGGUAGGCUUGAUUCACUCUUGCCUGCUGCGGGGAGCCGCAGUGAAGAGGCCCAGGCGACUGUUUAGCAAAAACACAGCACUCUGCCAAGUCGCAAGACGACGUAUAGGGUGUGACACGUGACCAAUGCCGAAAGGUCAAGCGGAAGGGUCAGCCGCAAGGCGAAGCUCCGAAGUGAAGCCCCGGUGAAUGUCGGCCGUAACUAUAACGGUCCUAAGGUAGCGAAAUUCCUUGUCGGGCAAGUUCCGACCUGCACGAAUCGUGUAACGAUCUGGGCGCUGUCUCAACGUGGAUCUCGGCGAAGUUGUAGUUCCGGUGAAAAUGCCGGAUACCUGCGGAAGGACGGAAAGACCCCAUGAACCUUCACUGUUGCCUGACAUUGGCAAUCGGCCAUCCACGUGCAGCAUAGGUGGGAGGCGUUGAGGCUCCGGCGUCAGCCGGGGCGGAGCCGGCGGUGAGAUACCACCCCUGGGUGCCUGGUUGUCUAACCCCGACCCGUAUAUCCGGGCGCGGGACCGUGUCAGGCGGUCAGUUUGACUGGGGCGGUUUCCUCCCAAAAAGUAACGGAGGAGCUCGAAGGUCGGCUCAGCGCGUUUGGCAAUCGCGCGUCGAGUGCAAGGGCACAAGCCGGCUUCACUGCGAGACCGACGGGUCGAGCAGACGCGAAAGCGGGACCUAGUGAUCCAGCGGCGGAACGUGGCAUCGCCGUUGCUCAUCGGACAAAAGGUACUCUGGGGAUAACAGGCUGAUCGCGCCCAAGCGUCCACAGCGACGGCGCGGUUUGGCACCUCGAUGUCGGCUCAUCACAUCCUGGGGCUGAAGAAGGUCCCAAGGGUUCGGCUGUUCGCCGAUUAAAGUGGUACGCGAGCUGGGUUCAGAACGUCGUGAGACAGUUCGGUCCUUAUCCUCCGCAGGCGGAGGACGGUUGACGGGAGCGCUCCCCAGUACGAGAGGACCGGGAGCGGGCGGCCUCUGGUGUUCCGGUUGUCCGGCCAACGGGCAUUGCCGGGUAGCCACGCCGCGAAGGGAUAAGCGCUGAAAGCAUCUAAGUGCCAAGCCCCCCCGAAGAAUAUCCGUCCCAGUGCGCAAGCACUCUGAAGGCCCCCGGAAGACGACCGGGUUGACAGGCCGGAAGCGCAAGGUCAGCGAUGGCCUCACCUUACCGGUUCUGAUUGGCCGUGCGGCUUGACCG